AGGAAUUUGCCUGCCUCGACUCCACAUCUCUGGGAUGGUGAGGGAGGCCUACCUUGAACACUCUGUAGGGUUUGGACUGUCAACAUCAAGUGAAAUUUCUCAAGAACCAACAGGAUUGGGGUAAGAAAGUCCCUGCUGGCCCAUGCAGGCACAGGCAUGCACACUGGGGCUGAGGAGAAUUCUGGAAUCAAGGAGGCAGCUGAACAAGACACAGCUGUUUGGAGACCAGCAUUCUGGGGAAGGCCCCUCUCUGUACAGCCCAGGAGGGAAUCUCUGAAUAGUUGCACUCUUGGACUGCGCUCAGUGUUCCUCAUCAGCUGGAGGCCGCAUCAUCAGCUUCAUUUUGUUGCCUCUGUCAUUGUUUUGGAGCCUUAGAGCGUGAACGUGCCUGGCCCCCUGCCAUGGCUGCAGGAGUGGAGCCAGGGUGUGUACUGCAGCCCAGAGGAGGAGCCUCACACUCUUCUGCAAAAAGAUUCCAGGGAGGAAAUCUGGAAAGUCUUUUCAAAACAACUCACAAAGGAAGGAGAGCUGCCAACUCUUGCAGGGUUGGUUUGCCCUAAUAAAUGAUCAGUUACUUAACGUGAGCACCACUCAGUGCUUCUUCCAUGCUGGAAGCCCUGGCCCCAGCAAGGGAGCGAAGGCUUUGUAUGACCAGGAGGACAUUCUGAGUCAUGAUCAGCAUGGAGGCCCCGUGAUCAGGACAGGAGGAGGGGACCAUAGAGAGGCUGAGGGAAGUGGUCGUCUCACACAGUAAAGCACUGCUAACAGACGA
rnacentral:lncRNA from 1 species